rnacentral:lncRNA from 1 species
UCAGCCCUAAACUCCGCCAUCUUUAUUCAAGAACAAACCCUAAUUUCCGGCGAAUCUUCCUACUGUCACUCUCUGAUGGAUCCAAAGACAGUGAAUUUUCACGCGAUUUAAUGGUGGCACGGGCACGAAAAUGUGCGUGCCGAAAAGCGGAAUGUGAUGUCGUGGAUAACGGCUGUUGAGAGACGUUUCUGUUCAAAAAGAGUAAAAUUGGUG